UGCCUUGUCAGGAACAAGGAGGCUGCAUGAUGAUUAUUGCUCUAUAAGACUAUCUGAGAUUAUUUGGUCGAGAAUCGAAGCUGUAGUUUGAACUUUUAUAUGUACGAGACAAAUUAAUCUGCAAGCUUUAUGCUUUUGGGGAGUCGAACAUACUUUAUAUUAGCGGAGUGUACGAAUUUCUUAAGUCAAGCAUGAACCAUUUAGUAAGAGAACCUAUUGCUUAUAUAUGUUUGAAGACAAUGGCCACAUUUACCUUGUUGUCGGAUGUUUCAGAACCCAGCAUGAUAGACCGUCAUCUGAACCCAUAUAUAAGACUAACUUUGGCUUGCAGACCCAAGAAUGUCUCCACAUGAACUCUGUAUACAGUCCUUGCUCUUUGCAAGUGUGUUCGUCUGAAUGAUUGAGGCAAAAAUGAUGAAUUUUUUGCUGCAACAAAUUAAUAAUGCUUAGUGGUAGCACACUGAUAUCCAAACUAUGACCACAUAUCCGAAGUAUAACAUCUUAGCUCGCGCAUGCGAGAACAAGAUUGAGAAAUAGGAAGUGGUUUGCAUGAAAACAAUUAAAGGAAUUGCUCCAAAAACAGAGCAGUCGGAGGUGUAUAAAUUAUCUCCCUGAACUUCAGCUAAAACAGGGCGACAGAAGACGAUACGGGAACCACGGCUUGUCAGGCGCUCGCCGUCAUCGCCACGUAGAUGGCCGCGCGCUCCGCCCCCAAUUGUUUUAGCAUAACUCAGCGGGGAUUUUGGGA
rnacentral:lncRNA from 1 species